UAGGGAAUCUUCGGCAAUGGACGAAAGUCUGACCGAGCAACGCCGCGUGAGUGAAGAAGGUUUUCGGAUCGUAAAACUCUGUUGUUAGAGAAGAACAAGGACGUUAGUAACUGAACGUCCCCUGACGGUAUCUAACCAGAAAGCCACGGCUAACUACGUGCCAGCAGCCGCGGUAAUACGUAGGUGGCAAGCGUUGUCCGGAUUUAUUGGGCGUAAAGCGAGCGCAGGCGGUUUCUUAAGUCUGAUGUGAAAGCCCCCGGCUCAACCGGGGAGGGUCAUUGGAAACUGGGAGACUUGAGUGCAGAAGAGGAGAGUGGAAUUCCAUGUGUAGCGGUGAAAUGUGUAGAUAUAUGGAGGAACACCAGUGGCGAAUGCGGCUCUCUGGUCUGUAACUGACGCUGAGGCUCGAAAGCGUGGGGAGCAAACAGG
rnacentral:rRNA from 1 species